rnacentral:tRNA from 1 species
GGCCAGUGGCGCAAUGGAUAACGCGUCUGACUACGGAUCAGGAGAUUCUAGGUUCGAAUUCUGGCUGGCUUCU